CCUUCUUAGAAAUCUCCGUGUCUGUAUGUCUCUAACACCUAUUCUUGUUUUAUAUUUUAUAUCAACAGGUGCAUGAUGAAAUCCCUAAUUGCCCUCUGUUCCUGUUUGUGCAUAUUUAAUUCAUACACCCUUUCAUACAAGCAAAAUCCUGUUAAAUCUGAUGAUUUGUUUGACGAACAGAAAUAUUUUGA